CCUACGGGUGGCAGCAGUGGGGAAUAUUGCACAAUGGGGGAAACCCUGAUGCAUCGACGCCGCUUGCUCGCUGCCUUCUUUCUUUCUUUCCCUCUCUCUCAGCAGGGAAGAAAAUGACGGUACCUGACUAAGAAGCCCCGGCUAACUACGUGCCAGCAGCCGCGGUAAUACGUAGGGGGCAAGCGUUAUCCGGAUUUACUGGGUGUAAAGGGAGCGUAGACGGUCCUGCAAGCCAGAUGUGAAAGCCCGGGGCUCAACCCCGGGACUGCAUUUGGAACUGUAAGGCUAGAGUGUCGGAGAGGCAGGCGGAAUUCCUAGUGUAGCGGUGAAAUGCGUAGAUAUUAGGAGGAACACCAGUGGCGAAGGCGGCCUGCUGGACGAUGACUGACGUUGAGGCUCGAAAGCGUGGGGAGCAAACAGGAUUAGAUACCCCGGUAGUC
rnacentral:rRNA from 1 species